GACAGAGGGUGCAAACGUUGUUCGGAAUUACUGGGCGUAAAGCGUGUGUAGGCGGCUCGAUAAGUCGGAUGUGAAAGCCCUGGGCUCAACCCAGGAAGUGCACUCGAUACUGUCGAGCUAGAGUAUCGGAGAGGUUGGUGGAAUUCUCGGUGUAGAGGUGAAAUUCGUAGAUAUUCGGAAGAACACCAGUGGCGAAGGCGACUUACUGGACGAUUGUUGACGCUGAGGUGCGAAAGCGUGGGGAGCAAACAGG
rnacentral:rRNA from 1 species